rnacentral:snRNA from 1 species
GUGCUCACUUCGGCAGCACAUAUACUAAAAUUGGAACGAUACAGAAAAGAUUAGCAUGGUCCCUGCCCAAGGAUGACAUGCAAAUUCGUGAAGCAUUCCAUAUUUAA